rnacentral:tRNA from 1 species
GCACCGCUAGCUUAGCGGUCCAGAGCACCGAGAGUAAUGACCUCGGGGGCAGGGGUUCAAUUCCCCUGCGGUGCACC